AAACCAAAAAGCCCCCCUCCCCCCCAAAAAAAAACCCCACAGAUAAGGAGAAAUAACAAAUAAUAAAACAGCAAAUGUUGAUGUUGUGCGAAUGGAAGAGUCACGUGAUUUUUCUUUGAUUGGCACGUUGAGCUCGACAAGGGAAGAGAGCAUGGUGUUUACAGCACAAUACAGUUUAGAAAAUAACGGCCAAUUUAGGUGGUAAAAAUGAUACUGUUAUUGUUGAGAGAAACUAGAUGAGUAAACUGCAGACAGUUAAUGCACAUGCAUAGCACAGGGGCUAAUAAGGGAGAUUCAGAGAACAUUUCAGACCAGCUUUAUACAGACAGGCUAAUUUACAAACAAAUAUAUAAUAUGGGUAAAGUCUAUAGGUGUAUAUAUUUGGUUAUGCAAGUUUGUUAUUGAAUUCCAAUUAC